CAGCUUCGAGCUUGAGUACAACAGAACUGUUUUUGGUCACCUGUGAGGAAAGAAGACCCUCUAAGAAAAUGAAGCAAUCUAUACUUGUCUUCCUUUGUCUUGCUGCAUUGGCUGCAUGCACCUUUGCAACAGUGGGUUCAAUUGCUAAAUGCGAUUGCCUGAGAUUGACAGAUACAGUCCUGCGACCCAGACGGAUUCAAGGGUUUCAUGAGCAAAAAAAAGAUGGCAGGUGCCCAGUUGAUGCUGUUGUAUUCACGACAAUCAAAGGGAAAAAAGUCUGUUCUGAUCCAACAAAAAUCUGGGUGAAGGAAGCAAUCAAGAAACUGGGAAAACCAGGAGGAGAAAAAAAGAAGGGAAAGGCCAGAAAACAAAACAGAAAGAAGAACAUCUGCAUGAGACAGAAAUAAACAAAACUGACCUGGACAAGAACCAACCAGCUGACCUAGUGAAUCCUCAAGAGAGGGACAAUUUUCAAAUUAGACCAUUUCAUCAUACAGUAUUUACCACACGCGUGUUUGAUCAGUGCAUUUUUAAUUGUUAAUGCCACUUACAGUAUGUAUCUGUAUCAUUUUGCUUUGCUCUUACAGCUAAAUGUUUCUAUUCACAAUGUUAUCAUCAACAGUAAUGUCUGUGUUAAUAUAGUAAUAAGAUUCGUCAUGGAAGUGGUAGCCCUAGGAUUUUCUUACUGAACCCAAUAACUGAACCACUAGUUCUAAAUAUUGUAAUUUUCCUGUGGCCACAGGCUAGAAGGCCUAUGGUACAGUACAUAGAUGUUAAACUUCUUACUAGGUCCAGUAGACAAACAUGUAUUUUUCAGUAUCAGUUGUGUCUAUUAUAAAUAUGUUUGAGAAUGUUUGAGAAUGUAAUUCAUGUGAAUUUGAAAAAGUUUUAGUAUUGGAGCAACAGAAAUAUCCAUCAUAAAAAAGAGAGGGUUACAAGAAAUAUACUUAAAUUACACUUUUAACUUUAUGUCCUUUUAAAUGUUUGUAAUGUGCUUACUUAAAUAUAUAAACAUACCAGGUGGUUGGGGCUCAAACUCA